UCCCGGCGGUCCAAGUCGCAUCCACAAUUAUUGGGUCUAGAACAUCCGUAGCUUGUUUUGUAAGUCUCUUGUGAAAUCUCAAAUCUCAAGUUUGAGGCGUGCAAGAGAUACUGCAUUGCUCGAGAUCGGAAGACGCAAAGAGUAUGUUUGAGGUAGUGGUAAAAUAUGUUAAUCUUGAACAGACUAACAAUGGCGAAGGCACUUUGCGAGUACGAAUCUGACAGUGAGGGAUGAAGGCUAGGGGCGCAAAAGG
rnacentral:rRNA from 1 species